AUUAUCAACACUGGUGGAAGUCGAUUAAACUGGGUCAUUUAGAGAUAAACGCAUCUGAGUUGUAAAUGGCGACUUUAUUUUGCUUUUUCAGUGCCUAACUUUGAAAGGACUGAACGGAACCAGGAAAGCACUAGAAAAGAUUGUACAGUCUUGUGUCUGUGAUCUUGUAGCAAACAAGAAACAGUGAUGUCCAUUUCAAAAGUAUUUUUCGUAAGGUUUAUGGCUGAUAGAGUCAGAUAUAGAUUGAUGAAUUUGGUUACUGCUGCCUACUGCGGGAGAGCUGACAUCUUAUGUCUCUUCUUGGGGCACAAAGUAAGCCUGGAAUUGAGGUCGAGCAUUCUGUAUACCGCUGAGAGAUAUAUAGCUCUUUCUGAUGUUGUCAAAAAUGGUUAGAAUACAUGGAAAACUAAACGA